CCUACGGGAGGCAGCAGUGGGGAAUUUUGGACAAUGGGCGAAAGCCUGAUCCAGCCAUUCCGCGUGCAGGAUGAGGGCCCUCGGGUUGUAAACUGCUUUUGUACAGAACGAAAAGGUUUCUAUUAAUACUAGGAGCUCAUGACGGUACUGUAAGAAUAAGCACCGGCUAACUACGUGCCAGCAGCCGCGGUAAUACGUAGGGUGCAAGCGUUAAUCGGAAUUACUGGGCGUAAAGCGUGCGCAGGCGGUUAUAUAAGUCAGAUGUGAAAUCCCCGGGCUCAACCUGGGAACUGCAUUUGAGACUGUAUAGCUAGAGUACGGUAGAGGGGGAUGGAAUUCCGCGUGUAGCAGUGAAAUGCGUAGAUAUGCGGAGGAACACCGAUGGCGAAGGCAAUCCCCUGGACCUGUACUGACGCUCAUGCACGAAAGCGUGGGGAGCAAACAGGAUUAGAUACCCUGGUAGUCCACGCCCUAAACGAUGUCAACUGGUUGUUGGGUCUUAACUGACUCAGUAACGAAGCUAACGCGUGAAGUUGACCGCCUGGGGAGUACGGCCGCAAGGCUGAAACUCAAAUGAAUUGACGG
rnacentral:rRNA from 1 species